rnacentral:misc_RNA from 1 species
AUGCAAUACUUCAAGUUUCACUUUCAAGAAUUCUCUCAGCAUGUUCUCUCUGUCUUUCUGAUGGUAAAAUAUCAUCUGAUGGGCAAAAGUUUAUAUCAAAAUUUUUAAAUCACCUGUACUUGUGAGAAGACAAAAUUCAGAAAAAUGUCUAGGAUUGAGAAGAUGUCAAUCCAAGGGAUCCGAAGUUUUGGCCCUGAUGACUCAGACAAAGGAAUAAUAAGUUUCUUCAUGCCACUGACUCUUAUUCUUGGUCCCAAUGGAACAGGGAAAACGACAAUAAUUGAAUGUCUGAAGUACAUGACAACUGGGGUUAUGCCCCCUGGUAGUAAAGGUGGCGCUUUUAUUCACGACCCCAAAGUAGCCCAUGAGCGUCAGGUCAAGGCUCAGAUCCGCCUACAGUUCCGUGAUGUCACCAACAACCGUAUGGUCAUACAACGAAUCAUGGAGGCCACUCAGAAGUUGAAGAAGAUAGAGAUGAAGACAUUAGAUGGAGUCAUCACACGCUAUGAUGUUAACGGUGAAAAAAAGAGCAUCGGUUCCAAGUGUGCUGAAAUAGAUAGGGAGAUGAUUACAUCUCUUGGAGUGUCUAAGCCUGUUCUGGAAAAUGUCAUCUUUUGUCACCAAGAGGAUUCCAACUGGCCACUGAGUGAAGGGAAAGCCCUGAAGGAGAAAUUUGAUGCCAUAUUUGCCUCCACUCGAUACGUAAAAGCUCUAGAAACAAUCAGGAAGGUUAAGCAGAUGCAGGACCAGGAACUAAAGCUAUACAAACAGGAAGUGACCCACCUUAAACAACUCAAGGACAAAUCAGAACAGCUGGAAGCUGACAAAAAUGAACGUGAAACAAAGAUGAUGGUGUGUCGAGAGUCUGUGGAGAAGAUUGAGUCCAAGCUCCGCCCUGUCAUUGAAAAGCUGGAUCAGAUCGGAAAUCAAUCGGACAAGAUUUACAAAAUACAGACCAGCAUAGAGAAACAUAGAAGUGAAAUGAAUAUGAUGGAAAACUCAGCAACAGAGCUCCGUGGGCAGAUAAAGAAUGAGUUUCAAGGUUCCGUUGAGGAGUUACAGAAGAAGAUUGCUGAAUUUGGGAACAUGGUACAAGAGAGACAAGAGACAAUGGAACAGUUUCAAAUGCUGCAGAGAGAACUGAACAAGGAGCUGGAGAAACUGGGACAGGAGAAAGGAAACUUGUUGAUGGAGGUUGGCAAGCUGGAACAAGAAUCAGAGAGGUAUAAAGAAAAUAUGAAGAGAAGGGAUGAUGAGAUAAAGAAAUUGUCCACAAAGUAUGAUAUUGAAGGGUACAGUCGGGGAAGCCUGAGUGAUGAACAGUAUCGAGCCUUCAUGGACCUCAUCAGGGGAAAAAUAGAGACCCUUCUGGAGGACGGGAAGAAGGUCAAAAUGGAGUUUGAGGACAAAGAUGCCAACAUGCAGCAAAAACUGGAUGAUGUUCGAGACAAGAAAACAAAGCUGGAGCAGAACGAGCGACUAAAGAGGGAUUUAAUGACAGAGAACACUCAGAAGAUUAAACAGCUGAACAAGAAGCUGAGCGAGGUCGAGGCUUCUGCCGGGAGGAGAGACCAGAUAACUCGUGACCUCAAGCGAGCUGAAUUUGAACUUAGCAAAGCAGAAAAAACAGUAGAUGUAAGCAAAGUGAAACAGGAAAUUGAAUCUCUCUCUAAAGAGAAGUCCAAACUGGAUGCCAACAUUAGUGAACUCAGUUCGGAGAUGAAUCGCCUCCACUUGCAGUCUAGUGCCAGGGCCCAGCUAGACGUGCUGAAGAAAGACAAGGUGACCAAAGAGGAGCAGAUUCGUAGACUGCGCGCCAAACAGGAGGACACACUGACCUACUUACUGGGACACAUGCCUGCGAGGAAUGUUCGGGGAGAACUUGACGAGUAUAUAGGGAAGCAGACUGAAUCUGUUAAACGUUUGAAUCAGGAAAUACAGAAAAGCAAGAGUGCUCUUUCCAGUAGAGAGGCAGAGAAAAAAAUGAUUGGG